rnacentral:snRNA from 1 species
AUACUUACCUGGCAGGGGAGACACCAUGAUCAAGAAGGCGGUUCACCCAGGGCGAGGCUCGUCCAUUGCACUCCGACGGCAUACGAUAUCGGUCUGCCUUGCCAGCCCGCUCAGAGAUGUGUAUACGACUGCAUAUUAUGGUAGUGGGGACUGCGUUCGCGCUCUCCCUG